rnacentral:rRNA from 1 species
UACGGGGGGGGCAAGCGUUGUUCGGAAUUACUGGGCGUAAAGGGCUUGUAGGUGGCCAACUAAGUCAGACGUGAAAUCCCUCGGCUUAACCGGGGAACUGCGUCUGAUACUGGAUGGCUUGAGUGUGGGAGAGGGACGCGGAAUUCCAGGUGUAGCGGUGAAAUGCGUAGAUAUCUGGAGGAACACCGGUGGCGAAGGCGGCGUCCUGGACCAACACUGACACUGAGGAGCGAAAGCCAGGGGAGCGAAUGGG